CUCUCCUGCUUUUCCACUUCCUCUUUCUUCUUGCUCUGUUCCUUGGGAGUGGUGUGGCUCGGUUUGGUCUCUGCAAUUGCAUCCAUUGCUAAUCCAAGCAAGGGAAAAAAUGGACAGGUUGAAGCACCUGCAUCAUCAAAACAGUAUCAGAUCUCAACAGAAAGCCCCUUUUUUGCAUGAACACCUUGCAAGUUUCUGAGAAGCAGCUGCGUUCCAAGAUGGACUGAGCAAAUACUGAAAAUGCCCCGGUUUUUAAUAACCUGGUAGCAGUAUAGGAAAGAGAUGAGAGUUCUGAAGAAGUAGGAACACAGUGUGGAUGUGUCCUCUCUCCUUCAUAAAUAAUGGUUGUUGAAGAUGAGCUUUAAAAGGAAAGGUUUCCCGGUUUCCUGCAGGAAAAGUUGAGUGGAAGAGAGCAUUUUACCCAUAAUACAUCCUUAGUCUUUUUUGGAAGAGAUGUGCGGAACCCAUUUGUGAUAAAAAAAAAGUUAAUGUCUGAAUGAAUUUAACAUUUCCGUAUUGUCACAUUUAACAGGUUUAAACUUAAUAAAGUGAAUUAUUGA